AGUAACACAAGAUGAUGGACACCUGGCGUGUCAGAGAAGUCAUAAGUCUGAAGUGGUCUUCAAAUAAUAUUUCAACUUUAUUCCUCUGGAGUUGAUGUGGCUAAUGAGGUAUUAUGUAGGAGUAUGUAAACAAGAUGGGAACUCAUUUGUUUGUUCCGUUAUGACGUGGCUGGGGGAUAAUUAGGCGUGGCACAAAGAGCAACACGAGAUGAUGGAUGUCUGACGUGCCUGAGAGAAUUCACUAGAAGUGCAAUUUGAAGUAGUUCGGAUUUCAGCCUUAUUCCUCAGGAGUUGAUGUGGCCAAAAAAGUUCUGACAGCAUUGUUUGGGCACGUGUGGACAUGUACAAAGGAAAUGUCUGCUAAAACAAGACGAUUCAUCUCAACAUCUCCGGGGAAACCAGGACGGCAGUAAGAAAAUAGGGAAAGGAAAGACAGCUGCAUCCCAUAACCACAACUAAAAGGCUUGUAGCUCAACACGACCACAAACAUGGCUGCACAGCAGAUUUACUCUGCAAACUCACAGCGGCAUGCACAUCUGGUGAUGCAUUAAGGGUUGUCGCAGCCUACGAUUGUGCAACGCCAGAUAGCGUGCAGAACCUGACUCUGUCCUGCUGGAGUCCUGACAGCAUCAACGCAGUCCGCUAAGUGCAUCGUUGCAUGCAUUCUUAAAUUUCAACGUGCCUUCACUAAGAUCAGAGCACAGACUCACAAGUUUGAUAAGGAAAGGCUGUUUCACAUUAUCUCCACCUUCAAUCUCCGUCUGGCCGUCUAAAAGACCCGUAUGUUCUGCAGCCAAAUAAUGCUGUGCUCAGCGUGCAGUCCCCCCACUUAGUAUAAAUACAAACUCUAAACACACACUUUAUUUUUAUAGCAUCUCUGCUCACUUGCACCUGAAGACUGCCUCGCCAGAGGAAGGUAGGGGCUGACUUAAGAAAACCCCCACCACAUAUUUGUUAAAAGACCAUGGCAUACCUUUGUCUUUACUCUUCUCUUUGGCUAAAGAAUCCAGCUUCCUCCUUAGCGACUUCUUCCUCUUCUGUCCGUCUGUGCAGGAACAAAAGACAAAAACUCACCAUCUGGACAACAAGAUAUCUUUGUCCAGUGUUGCUGUUGUAUUCAGAUAUUUGUAAAAUGACUAAAGAAUGCAGACCUGAGCCGGAGGAUGCACAAAAAUCUCAAGCGUCUUGUUUUUUUACUACACAGAUUAAAAUAUCGCCGUUUUAAUUUCAACAUGUGUUUCAAGAAUAAGCCCCUUACCAUUCCGACAUU